rnacentral:rRNA from 1 species
GACGAACGCUGGCGGCGUGCUUAACACAUGCCAGUCGAACGGAAAGGCCCUGCUUUUGUGGGGUGCUCGAGUGGCGAACGGGUGAGUAACACGUGAGUAACCUGCCCUUGACUUUGGGAUAACUUCAGGAAACUGGGGCUAAUACCGGAUAGGAGCUCCGCUGCAUGGUGGGGGUUGGAAAGUUUCGGCGGUUGGGGAUGGACUCGCGGCUUAUCAGCUUGUUGGUGGGGUAGUGGCUUACCAAGGCUUUGACGGGUAGCCGGCCUGAGAGGGUGACCGGCCACAUUGGGACUGAGAUACGGCCCAGACUCCUACGGGAGGCAGCAGUGGGGAAUAUUGCACAAUGGGCGGAAGCCUGAUGCAGCAACGCCGCGUGCGGGAUGACGGCCUUCGGGUUGUAAACCGCUUUCGCCUGUGACGAAGCGUGAGUGACGGUAAUGGGUAAAGAAGCACCGGCUAACUACGUG